UUAUCUCAUGAGAUGAGUGCUCUAAAAAAAAGAGAGAAAUACGAGGAAAUAAAAAGGAGCAAGUGCUCGGAACCUCGAAAGAAAAGAGAAAGCGAGACGAGAGGUAAAAAUGAACAAGUGUCCGACGGUAGAAUUAGGGGUGCAAGAUACCCACCUGAGAGAAAAGAAAAAGAAGAGCAUCUCAUUCUCCUCAUAAAGUUUCAAAAAAGCAAGGAAGGUAUGUAUCCCCUCAAAGAGCAAAGUAGAAUUAGACUUCCAUCACCAUUGUUUUCACCAUUGUUAUCACCAUCAUCACCAU
rnacentral:lncRNA from 1 species